AACCUAAUCCCCGGACCCCACCUUUUGAUAGUGACAGGAGGCAGACAAAUCCUAGGCAGACAGGGACAGGUUCCCAGUGAAACCCCACCUCCGAGCCAAAGACAGUUUAAAGCCUGAAAGCCAAGCUACAAAUUAAAUCCUCAGCCUGGAUUGAGAACCCAUCUUCCCAUUUGGCUGCUUUCCUCUGAUUGAUCCCCACCCUUCACCUAUUUUACAUGUACCUAUCUUUUCCUAAUUCAUUUUCUACACUGGCAUGCCCACCUUUGAGUGGUACCUUUGUUUAAGCCUUUUUUGCAUAAUCAGAAGCCAAUCAGCAUGCACUCCCCCAUUCUGAGCCCAUAAAUGCCCCGGACCCAGCCACACUAGGAGAGAAACCACCUGACUUCAGGUCGGGAACCACCCGUGCAUCCCCUCUCUGCUGAGAGCUGUUCCGUCUCUCAAUAAAAUU
rnacentral:lncRNA from 10 species